UCGGGAAUAUUGCGCAAUGGAGGAAACUCUGACGCAGUGACGCCGCGUGCAGGAAGAAGGUUUUCGGAUUGUAAACUGCUUUAGACAGGGAAGAAAAAAGACAGUACCUGUAGAAUAAGCUCCGGCUAACUACGUGCCAGCAGCCGCGGUAAUACGUAGGGAGCAGGCGUUAUCCGGAUUUAUUGGGUGUAAAGGGUGCGUAGACGGGAAGGCAAGUUAGUUGUGAAAUCCCUCGGCUUAACUGAGGAACUGCAACUAAAACUAUCUUUCUUGAGUGCUGGAGAGGAAAGUGGAAUUCCUAGUGUAGCGGUGAAAUGCGUAGAUAUUAGGAGGAACACCAGUGGCGAAGGCGACUUUCUGGACAGUAACUGACGUUGAGGCACGAAAGUGUGGGGAGCAAACAGGAUUAGAUACCCUGGUAGU
rnacentral:rRNA from 1 species